rnacentral:lncRNA from 1 species
GAAAUAGUAGGUUGUUGUAUUGAUUUGAUGAUGAUUACAGAUCUAUGAAGGCGGCUAUUUAUAGCCUGUUACAACCAAUCUCUUAACCAACUAGGACUCUAUCUCUAAUUUUAAAUGAAAAUGAAUAUUUACAAGUACGACUCGCAUCGGAGUUGACUGCUACGUUCCGUGGGCCGACCCCUUUCAAUCCUCGCGAUCUAUUCUGAGCCCAUAUCGGCC